rnacentral:rRNA from 1 species
CCUACAGGGGGCUGCAGUGGGGAAUAUUGGACAAUGGGGGCAACCCUGAUCCAGCCAUGCCGCGUGUGUGAAGAAGGCCCUCGGGUUGUAAAGCACUUUCAGUGAGGAAGAACGCCUGGUGGUUAAUACCCAUCAGGAAAGACAUCACUCACAGAAGAAGCACCGGCUAACUCCGUGCCAGCAGCCGCGGUAAUACGGAGGGUGCGAGCGUUAAUCGGAAUUACUGGGCGUAAAGCGCGCGUAGGUGGCUUGAUAAGCCGGUUGUGAAAGCCCCGGGCUCAACCUGGGAACGGCAUCCGGAACUGUCAAGCUAGAGUGCAGGAGAGGAAGGUAGAAUUCCCGGUGUAGCGGUGAAAUGAGUAGAGAUCGGGAGGAAUACCAGUGGCGAAGGCGGCCUUCUGGACUGACACUGACACUGAGGUGCGAAAGCGUGGGUAGCAAACAGGAUUAGAUACCCUAGUAGUC